UACGUAGGGGGCUAGCGUUGUCCGGAAUCAUUGGGCGUAAAGGGUGCGUAGGCGGCGCGGUAAGUCGGGUGUGAAAUCUCGGAGCUUAACUCCGAAACUGCAUUCGAUACUGCCGUGCUUGAGGACUGGAGAGGAGACUGGAAUUUACGGUGUAGCGGUGAAAUGCGUAGAUAUCAAGCGGAACACCGGUGGCGAAGGCGGCCUUCUGGACAGUGACUGACGCUGAGACGCGAAAGCGUGGGGAGCAAACAGG
rnacentral:rRNA from 1 species